ensembl:lncRNA
GGGAGAAAUGCAGAUAGUCGUUGCGGAGCUGCUGCCUAAACGAGUGAAAAAAUAUUAAAAAACAAGUCAGAAGCCUACAUAAAGCCAUUUUUGUACUCUGGAGAAUAUAUUUUUGUUUUUUCCGACCUGUCUUUGCCUUGGUGACGUUGUGAACAUAACCGAACGGGACUUGGCCAUUAAGGUUUGGAUCGGAAAUGCCGAGCUAGAAUCGGAGUUUGAUCCGCUGAGCGAGCAACAAGAUGGCGAGCCACCCAGGGACCCAUUGAACUGUACCGAGCAGGAAAAAGGAAACUGCCCCCUGCUGGACGUUGAACUCUUUCACUAAAAAAACUGGCCAUUAAGGUUUGGAUCGGGAAAUGCCGAGCUAGAAUCGGAGUUUGAUCCGCUGAGCGAGAAACAAGAUGGCGAGCCACCCAGGGACCCAUUGAACUGUACCGAGCAGGAAAAAGGAAACUGCCCC